rnacentral:snRNA from 1 species
GGCUUUUUGACUAAAAUCAACGAUAGCAUCUGUUCUUAUUAGUUU